UACGGGGGGGGCAAGCGUUGUUCGGAAUUACUGGGCGUAAAGGGCUCGUAGGCGGCCAACUAAGUCAGACGUGAAAUCCCUCGGCUUAACCGGGGAACUGCAUCUGAUACUGGAUGGCUUGAGUUCGGGAGAGGGAUGCGGAAUUCCAGGUGUAGCGGUGAAAUGCGUAGAUAUCUGGAGGAACACCGGUGGCGAAGGCGGCAUCCUGGACCGAUAUUGACGCUGAUGCGCGAAAGCCAGGGGAGCAAACGGG
rnacentral:rRNA from 1 species